GCUGGAAUCAGGAAACCGGUUCCAGCCAGUUUGCGGUGUGAGAGCAGCGGCGGUGAUCAGGUUGAAUAUUAGUUUGCGUGAGCAGCGGAUCGAGUCGGAUUGUAUCAGAGCGGGUUUAUAUCGAACAUCUAACAAUAUGGAGAGGAUAAAAGAGCGGAUUAAAGCGGGCAGUGACAGAAACCGGCACAUUAAACGAAGUUGAAGAUGUUUUUUUGUGGACUUUGACGACAGACUUUUAACAUUAGCACCAUUCACCUCUGUCUCAUCGUCCAGAUCUGCCCCAGCUAAGGAUCUCCUUUGGCCUGUACUUCACUACAACACAUUCCACAAGUAAACACAUCAGCCUUCAUCAUGGGUGGGAAUGAAGGAGGAGGACGUGGAACGGAUCUAUGGAGCCUCAUCGGGGUUCGUCCAAGCGUCCAGAAAUCCCCCACCGACCCUGGGGCAGAGUCCAACACCUCGGGAGGUUUCAGUCUGCAGUCAUACCUUGGGCUUCAGAAGUCCACCACUCUGGACAGCAUCAAGACCCAAGUGAACCUCGGGGUUGAAAACCCGCCUGACUUCAAGUCCUCCAAACAGGAAGCGACCGGACCGGAGGGGAGAAAAUUGUCUGUACACAAACUCAAACCUCGUGACAUGAACGUCCUCACUCCGUCCGGCUUCUGACGUUGGCUCACACCUUCCUCCUUUUCUUUUUCUCUCUUCUCCACUCAGGUCGCUCACACGUCCCUCACACACGUCUCACACACACACCGAAUAUGAGCCAAGUCCUUCAGCCCGAUGUUUGUAAUACUGAUCCACGGUACCUCAUCAGUGACGUUUCCAUCUCAGUUCCAGCUCGCUGUGAUUGUCAUGGUACAGUGUCACAUGAUGACGGAAAAAUCGUUUAAAAUUAAAUCUCCUUUUUUUCUCCCCGAAUGUAAUGCAUUUUUAUAGAGCUCCAGACCGAACCGGAUUAAACAAGUAACCUGCUUUAACAGCAUGAGGGACAUCACCAGGAAUCCUUUUUUGGAAAUUCUGUUCAAUCAGUGCCACUUUUAUUUCCCAGAAUGCACAUCUGUAUUUCUAUCUAUGCAGUUUAGGGUGGUCCUGGUUCUUUUUUGUUUGUUUGUUUGUAAAAAAACACAACCGUGUUUGUGUACAUAGCUAAGAAUCUCCAGCUCAGACAGGGAAUACAUACGAGCUCCAAUCCCAUCACAGAAUUCCGAAGGUUUUUUCCGACACUCCUGAGAUCCAAACUAAAUUGCAAACGGUCACGUUCUCUGCAGUGACUCCACACGCCGCUUUUAGUUCUUCUGAAAGUGUUUGAUUUCAGUGUUGUAUCAUGAUUACAUUUUCCCAGUAAAUUUGAUCUCUA